GGGGUUGUAGCUCAGAUUGUAGAGCACUUGCCUAACAUGCAUGAAGCCCUGGGUUCAAUCCCCAGCAACCUCA